AGGGAAGAAGCCUGGAUCUGCAUUUUAUAGAAUCCCUUUCAGUGCGUGGUUUUAGGAUACUAUCUCAGAAGACUUGAAAAUAGGGGAGAAGAAAUCAUUACUAUGGCAGCAGCUAUAGAUACUCCUAAUAAUCUCAGUCAUUGAUUACUGGGGAACAAAGAGAAGCCAGCAAAUUGGAAAAAAGGGAGAGUCUACCUGAAUUUGGGAUUCUGAUAGCACCAACAGAUGAGGGGGCCAAAACAAAAUCACUGCCAAUUGUCCACCAUCAACUAAACUCAACUCUAGUCACAGUGGUCUUUCUAUCAGACAGCUGCUAUCUUACCCCUCUUCACACUUGGAUCCAGGG